ACGGGUGAGUAACACGUGGGUAACCUGCCUGUAAGACUGGGAUAACUCCGGGAAACCGGGGCUAAUACCGGAUGCUUGAUUGAACCGCAUGGUUCAAUCAUAAAAGGUGGCUUUUAGCUACCACUUACAGAUGGACCCGCGGCGCAUUAGCUAGUUGGUGAGGUAACGGCUCACCAAGGCGACGAUGCGUAGCCGACCUGAGAGGGUGAUCGGCCACACUGGGACUGAAACACGGCCCAGACUCCUACGGGAGGCAGCAGUAGGGAAUCUUCCGCAAUGGACGAAAGUCUGACGGAGCAACGCCGCGUGAGUGAUGAAGGUUUUCGGAUCGUAAAACUCUGUUGUUAGGGAAGAACAAGUACCGUUCGAAUAGGGCGGUACCUUGACGGUACCUAACCAGAAAGCCACGGCUAACUACGUGCCAGCAGCCGCGGUAAUACGUAGGUGGCAAGCGUUGUCCGGAAUUAUUGGGCGUAAAGCGCGCGCAGGCGGUUUCUUAAGUCUGAUGUGAAAGCCCCCGGCUCAACCGGGGAGGGUCAUUGGAAACUGGGGAACUUGAGUGCAGAAGAGGAGAGUGGAAUUCCACGUGUAGCGGUGAAAUGCGUAGAGAUGUGGAGGAACACCAGUGGCGAAGGCGACUCUCUGGUCUGUAACUGACGCUGAGGCGCGAAAGCGUGGGGAGCGAACAGGAUUAGAUACCCUGGUAGUCCA
rnacentral:rRNA from 1 species